AUUUUUCUGGCGAUGCUAUUCCGGCUGAACCAAGUCACUCUGGGCGAUAAACCUUAUACGACCCUGCUGGUAUAAAAACACGCAAAAGAGAGGGGUCUCAAAUCAGUCACGUGGCAUAUUUGGACCAAUCAAGCACGAACCUCCGCACCUGAAUUCGCUUUACGAACGUCCAAGGCGGUGUAAAAUAACUCAGUUUUAUUUGUCAAAAUGGGAUGUCCUCAGCUUCAUAAAGUCGUAAAUGCUAGCGUUUAUGACGGCAUAAAAUUUGGGAAAAAUAAAACCGUCAGGGCGUUAAUAAAGUGGUCCCAGUCCACACCGGCUCAUUUCAGUUCCGAGUGCGUGGAAGACACGUAUACAGUCCACCGUGCGAUGCGCUGUUGUUAGUUCCCGUAUUGCUGCCACUCGCCAGCACUUCUGAGCGCAGAACGCAACAGUGCACAGGUUUGACGAUGAGUCGAUCUGAAAGCCCACGGCUAGCCUUGUCCCUUCGCGUCAGUAAUUGUCAAGUCCAACGUUAAGGAGGAGAUAGCCACCCACGACUGCGAGAAAGCUCGCAGGACGAAAACAGAGCCGGUACGGGUUCGGCCAUCUUCACGCUGCGCCGAGCAGGCCCUCGUAGAGCAGUGGCGGGCUGCGGCAGGGUACUCGCCCGAGGGAGCCGGAGGCUUGGUUUAGAGGCCGGUCGGCGGAUCACCAACGGUCGGAGUUAGUGUAUUGUUGGCACAUGCUCGCGAAGACUGUCUGUUGAAAGAAUGUCAGCGGGGUUUGACACCGAGUUGUCUGCUUACUUUUGGACUGGGACUGUAAGCUCUCUUUUUCAAGAUGGGUAUUUAUCAGUUGUCAUGAAGGUUGUUUUCGCUAAGCCUACGAAUACAGACAAGCAUUGAGGAAGGCCCUGUUCAAAUGUUUCAGUACAUCGUUGCGACGAAAAAUGACUUUCAGCGUUCACAUUUUGAGGCACUCACCCAAUGCGACAGAGACACAGCACGCUGUUUCUGUGGAAAUUAUCACACGCUUCAAGGCAACUAAACUUUAAAAGGGGCUAGACGAACGGGACAGGUGCCGUGAAUGCUACCCGAAGACCAGCUAUAAACCAAGAGCGGCCUCGAUGAGUGCUGGCCUAAUGAUAUAAAUAGGGUAGCAAGACGCAGAGUUAUAAAGCGGUGUACUGAAUACUUGGCUACGACCAGCACUAACACGCACGUCUGUUGGAGAACAGCAGCAGCCGCUGAAUACUUGGCUACGACCAGCACUAACACGCACGUCUGUUGGAGAACAGCAGCAGCCGCUGGGUAAUGGCUUUCAUACCCGCUCUUGUUGUUUACUGCCGUCGACGCAUGAUUCGGACAAGGUCAAAAUGACUGAAACCUGCUAGACAAAUCAAUUUGGAAGCGCCGAAACAAAGACCCCUAGCUUCAUUUUGAGAACAAAGAAUUCACAUGCGACGUUUUUAUUUUCACAAAGGAAUUGGGAGUGUCCAUUCAUUAGCUUUUGGGCAAGAGAAAACCUGAUUAUUAAUUUGCUGAUGAGCUUAAUAAUUAUGAUGAUCAAACAACUGUUUGCUGAAAUGUAGCCGUUUAAAACCAGGACAUUUGAACGCUGAAGUUUGAAAGUCUAUUACAGCCACUCUCUGUUUCUAUUGUAAUAAGCUGCUUUUCAUGCCUUGCAUCCCACCGGCAUCACAGGAUUACAGUGACACACAUCUUUCAUGUCUUGGACUGCAGACGACUAUACCUAAAGCCCAGUCGGCGAAACUCGGUGCAGAUGCUACACGUCGCAAAGCGUCUGUUGAUCUCUCACUGGACGAAGGAAACACCACCUCCACCCGCUGAGGAAGGAGAAGCCUUUACAACUAGGAACACAUCUCAUCUGAUAGCAAUCGUGCAUUUAUGAGCGCACAUUAGUUCCAUGGCUGCUUCCUUUGAAUCAGAACUUUGAAACUUUGAAACAAGAGAAAGAAGAGAAAACCCAACGUUUUUCGGGAAUCGAUGAGUUUUUGUCACCGUCAGAGCAGAGAUUAUGUCUACUUGCAAGUGGGGCACGUAGUGUUUUUUUUUCAAACUUCAUGAUUCGAUAUUUCCACACUUGCUAAAAAUGACCAAUAACCAAAACAUAUUUAUAGUUUGGAACAAUGAAUUUCCCCCAAGACUUGCUCCACCUUCCCCCCCCCUUUCUUUUCUUCAUCACCUGGUGGCAGGGCCCAGCCUUGGAAAUCCCCUGGCUAUUCGCUAACAUUUCAAAUCAACGAGAGAGAAAGAAGGAGCAACCGAAUUGAGUUACAACUCGCCGGUCGUAAUUUUGUCUUCAGUGGCCCAGGCCGGCAUGGCAAUAAGCGGUGGAAACCGCCGGACUCAACAUCAAAAAUUCAUGCGCAGUUUGUACGCGUUUAUUUGCUCGCUCGCACUCUCUUUACCAAAAGCAAAGAACGGACGGGGAAAAAAUGAAGGGCAAUUGGUUCCCGCAAGUUGGUCGUAAAUUUUCCGGGGAGAAAAUGAAAGAAGGGGCCGGGGGGAAAGAAGGGGAAAAAAGUGUCACUGAGGAACUCGUCGGAUGCCUGGUAAUCAAGGAGACGGGUCGGUCUCGUCUUUGAGGCUGGCGGGAGAAAUGGUUGGUCGUCUGUCGUUCGUCGGAAACUCGAUCGCCCACGUCUGCGACCGGUGCCGAUUGAUCAGCCUCGGCCAUGUGUGUGCUUAGCUAGCUGGAGACCUGCCAGGCAAGGGGUGGGGGUGUUUUGGACUUGACUGACCCAGUGACCUGUGACGCAUUCCUGAGAAGGGCGCGGUGCAUUCUGGGUGAGAUGGUUGACGAUGGGAUUUUUUGACUGAUGAAGGUUUGUACACGACCAAUUCCAUGUUACAAAUUCUUUCACCCACCCGGGGAUAAGUAUUGCCGAGAAAACAAGCAAACAGUCGAUUCCCAUAGGAGCAUUCAUGUUCCUUUUAAUUUCAUUCGAACAAUAUAGAAGGGCAUGCAAUGUUGGUUUUAUUAUAAUCAAAGGAAUUCGAAUGCUACUCAUUUUGUUCCGUAUUCUGAAGCCUAGAGUUUUAUAGUUUGAUUUAUGAUAAAUACUAUAUUAUAAUGAUGUUUUCCACAAAACUGAAAAAAAUGUGUGACGUCAACCUGCAAACAGAAAACAUCUUGGAGUUGAUGUGUUAACAUGUUGCCGCCAUUUUGUAUAGCCAGACAUUUAUGUACUGCUGUAUGUUUCGUGUCAUCUGCUGUUGGGGGGAAUGUUUGACAGUCAAGACCCAAACGUGGCUUGCAGGUCCAACAAGGUCAUUUUUAAUUGACACAAUAAAUAUGAAGCAACGCUAAACGAAAUAUGCCGCGAUAAAUCACCGAAGUUAUCAAAGGUUGAAGAAAAGAUUGCGUGAACGAUAGAUGGCGCUGUUGGAACUUGACGCCAUUAUUACCGCUUAUGGAAUUAUAACAAAAUCAUUAAGCUGUUGAAGAACGCGAAAGUGAUACAUUUUACUCCCACUUCCCAUUUUGCUUACCACGAUCAGAAUUUAAAUCCUCAAUAACUACUCACUGGACAGCCACUAAUGCAAAGGUUUACAUUAUCAACACUUACUUGAAUUGUCCAUUUUGUCAGGGGAAAAAAAGGACAACCAGUGGCUAUGCAGGGGAGUCCCCCCCCACACACACACACCAUGAAGUGUGUAUUUGCCUGCAACUGGGGACCCCCUAUUGUUCCUCUUU